rnacentral:rRNA from 1 species
GUGCCAGCCGCCGCGGUAAUACGGAGGGCGCAAGCGUUGUUCGGAAUCAUUGGGCGUAAAGCGCGUGUAGGCGGUCUGGUCAGUCGGGUGUGAAAUACCGGAGCUCAACUCCGGAACUGCAUUCGAUACUGCCAGGCUAGAGUCCCGGAGAGGGUGGUGGAAUUCCCGGUGUAGAGGUGAAAUUCGUAGAUAUCGGGAGGAACACCAGCGGCGAAGGCGGCCACCUGGACGGUGACUGACGCUGAGACGCGAAAGCGUGGGGAGCAAACAGGAUUAGAAACCCGCGUAGUCC